GUGCCAGCAGCCGCGGUAAGACGAACCGAGCGAACGUUAUUCGGAAUCACUGGGCUUAAAGGGCGCGUAGGCGGGCCGUCAAGUCAGGGGUGAAAGCCCCCAGCUCAACUGGGGAAGUGCCUUUGAUACUGGCGGUCUCGAGGGGGAUAGGGGCGUGCGGAACUUCCGGUGGAGCGGUGAAAUGCGUAGAUAUCGGAAGGAACACCGGUGGCGAAAGCGGCGCGCUGGAUCCCUUCUGACGCUGAGGCGCGAAAGCCAGGGGAGCGAACGGGAUUAGAUACCCCCGUAGUCC
rnacentral:rRNA from 1 species